rnacentral:rRNA from 1 species
UACAGAGGGGGCAAGCGUUGUUCGGAAUUACUGGGCGUAAAGGGCGCGUAGGCGGCCCGCUAAGUCGAACGUGAAAUCCCCGAGCUCAACUCCAGAAUUGCCUUCGAUACUGGCUUUCUAGAGGCUGGAAGAGGUUAGUGGAAUUCCCAGUGUAGAGGUGAAAUUCGUAGAUAUUGGGAAGAACACCAGUGGCGAAGGCGGCUAACUGGUCCAGAUCUGACGCUGAGUGAGCGAAAGCCAGGGGAGCAAACGGG